rnacentral:rRNA from 1 species
AGUGAACGCUGGCGGUAGGCCUAACACAUGCAAGUCGAACGGCAGCACAGUAAGAGCUUGCUCUUACGGGUGGCGAGUGGCGGACGGGUGAGGAAUACAUCGGAAUCUACUUUUUCGUGGGGGAUAACGUAGGGAAACUUACGCUAAUACCGCAUACGACCUACGGGUGAAAGCAGGGGAUCUUCGGACCUUGCGCGAUUGAAUGAGCCGAUGUCGGAUUAGCUAGUUGGCGGGGUAAAGGCCCACCAAGGCGACGAUCCGUAGCUGGUCUGAGAGGAGGAUCAGCCACACUGGAACUGAGACACGGUCCAGACUCCUACGGGAGGCAGCAGUGGGGAAUAUUGGACAAUGGGCGGAAGCCUGAUCCAGCCAGACCGCGUGGGUGAAGAAGGCCUUCGGGUUGUAAAGCCCUUUUGUUGGGAAAGAAAAGCAGCAGGUUAAUACCCCGCUGUUCUGACGGUACCCAAAGAAUAAGCACCGGCUAACUUCGUG